GACGAACGCUGGCGGCGUGCCUAAUACAUGCAAGUUGAGCGCUGAAGGUUGGUACUUGUACCGACUGGAUGAGCAGCGAACGGGUGAGUAACGCGUGGGGAAUCUGCCUUUGAGCGGGGGACAACAUUUGGAAACGAAUGCUAAUACCGCAUAAAAACUUUAAACACAAGUUUUAAGUUUGAAAGAUGCAAUUGCAUCACUCAAAGAUGAUCCCGCGUUGUAUUAGCUAGUUGGUGAGGUAAAGGCUCACCAAGGCGAUGAUACAUAGCCGACCUGAGAGGGUGAUCGGCCACAUUGGGACUGAGACACGGCACAAACGCCUACGGGAGGCAGCAGGAGGGAAUCUUCGGCAAUGGACGAAAGGCUGACCGAGCAACGCCGCGUGAGUGAAGAAGGUUGUCGGAUCGUAAAACUCUGUUGGUAGAGAAGAACGUUGGUGAGAGUGGAAAGCUCAUCAAGUGACGGUAACUACCCAGAAAGGGACGGCUAACUACGUG
rnacentral:rRNA from 1 species